rnacentral:rRNA from 1 species
AGAAUCAACGCUGGCGGCGUGCCUAACACAUGCAAGUCGAACGAGAAAGUGGAGCAAUCCAUGAGUAAAGUGGCGCACGGGUGAGUAACACGUGACUAACCUACCCUUGAGUGGGGAAUAACUUCGGGAAACCGAGGCUAAUACCGCAUAACACCUACGGGUCAAAGGAGCAAUUCGCUUAAGGAGGGGUCGCGGCAGAUUAGUUAGUUGGCAGGGUAAUGGCCUACCAAGACGGUGAUCUGUAUCCGGCCUGAGAGGGCGCACGGACACACUGGAACUGAAACACGGUCCAGACUCCUACGGGAGGCAGCAGUGGGAAUUUUGCGCAAUGGGGGAAACCCUGACGCAGCAACGCCGCGUGGAGGAUGAAGUCCCUUGGGACGUAAACUCCUUUCGAUCGGGACGAUUAUGACGGUACCGGAAGAAGAAGCCCCGGCUAACUUCGCGCCAGCAGCCGC